AUUGAACGCUGGCGGCAUGCCUUACACAUGCAAGUCGAACGGCAGCAUGGAGAGCUUGCUCUCUGAUGGCGAGUGGCGAACGGGUGAGUAAAGCAUCGGAACGUACCGUGUAGUGGGGGAUAACGUAGCGAAAGUUACGCUAAUACCGCAUACGCACUGAGGUGGAAAGCAGGGGAUCGUAAGACCUUGCGCUAUACGAGCGGCCGAUGUCAGAUUAGCUAGUUGGUAGGGUAAAGGCCUACCAAGGCGACGAUCUGUAGCGGGUCUGAGAGGAUGAUCCGCCACACUUGGACUGGGACACGGCCCAGAGUCCUACGGGAGGCAGCAGUGGGGAAUUUUGGACAAUGGGGGCAACCCGGAUCCAGCCAUGCCGCGUGAGUGAAGAAGGCCUUCGGGUUGUAAAGCUCUUUCGGCCGGGAAGAAAUCGCACAGGCUAAUACCCUGUGUGGAUGACGGUACCGGCAUAAGAAGCACCGGCUAACUACGUGCCAGCCGCCGCGGUAA
rnacentral:rRNA from 1 species